rnacentral:lncRNA from 1 species
UUGAGGGAUACCAGCUCCUUGGGCUUCCAUGACCUCACUGGAAAAACAGAAGGAACCCUACCUGCCCUGCCCCUGCCUUUCAGGGUCGUCUGGAAGAGCUGUGAUGUCCAGUGAACAUGAACGUGCUCUGUAACUUGGGAAGGGCAGUGCAGAUGGCAGGGGCGUGUAUACACUUACUCUUCAGGCUGGCUUGUGAGCUCCCAUCUCUCGCCCUCCUCCCCCUGCUCUCCUUUUCUGUGCUGCCCGUUCCCUCUCUGCAAACUGGGAGCUAUUCUGGCCGCAGCCAGUUCCACGUCCCCACUGAGGGCCGCACCCCUGAAUGUUCCCUGUUGUAAAGCUGUGUGGAGGAAGGGAGGAGGCCUUUCUGCGUAUUGUCGUCAUCAGCCCGCGGUGUUCCAGAAGCUGCCAGCAGGGGGCAGUAGCACCACAUGCCUGGGACCCUCCCGGCGCUUCCCGGCCACUGCCCUGGGCUCCGGGGAGGCCACCUCUAAAAUAUUCCAACAUGGGCCAGGUGCGGUGGCUCACACCUGUAAUCCUAGCACUUUGGAAGGCUGAGGCAGGCGGAUCACAAGGUCAGGAGAUCGAGGCCAUCCUGGCUAAGAUGGUGAAGCCCCAUCUCUACUAAAAAUACAAAAAAAUAGCCAGGCAUGGUGGCACGUGCCUGUAGUCCCAGCUACUUGGGAGGCUGAGGCAGGAGAAUCGCUUGAACCUGGGAGGUGGAGGUUGCAGUGAACCAAGAUUGUGCCACUGCACU